AUAAAUGGAAUCAAAGGGUGUUUCCCUGUAACAAGGGAUUGUAAUUAAGAGACACAUUCUGUCUUGAAUGGGUCGAACCCGAAAUAAUAAAAACUCUAUUCACUAAAUGAAUACGAGUGAAAUUAUGUUGGGUGACAUUUACGCUCACUGUGUGCAAUUUUCUCUCAACAGACUGUGAAGGAGAAACUCUCGGUUGUGUGCACGAUCAAUGGCAAGGACCCCAAGGAUUUUCAGCAAGAGAUUACUGACGGCGAUGUUGAGGGAAUGGAUGAGCUUGUUCAUGAUCUGGUGUCACAGUUUUCGAGCAGGUCAUCUUUUUGAGAUUUUGGGUAUGAUGAUACAUGAAGACUCGUACUUGAUCUUCUGGGACUUUGACAUCACAUCGCAAAGAGUAGCAGCAUCUCAAGGAUGCCUUUGUUAAGGCUUUUGCUGUUUGCAGUGGGGAUUCAAUGAAGAAGCAAAUUCAUAUUUGUGGCCUCUUGUGGUUCUUGCAUUGCUGAAAGUCAAGACACUGGGUCUUCGGCAACCUCAUCAAGAUUUGCAGUUGGCCAGUUGUCUACUUAUUUGGCCCCAGGCCUGCAAGUUCAAUAUCAUCAACAGGCACAUACUGUUUCAGGACUGCAAAAAUUCAUUGAGAAAUGUGCUAGGGAUCUUGACACCUUAUUUGGAUGAAUUGAUUUCCCAAUUGAAGUGGAGUCCUAUUGCAGGAGCAGGACUAUCUGGCUUUGAUGAUGUAGAUUUGGACUAUUCUAAUCAUAAAAUUUCUGAGGCAACAAGAAUCAAUUAUCAAAACUUUCCAGCUGUUUAGAGGAUAUAAUUCUAGAUAAUGUUUUUAGCUUUUUUUUCUUUUUUCUUUCCAUAUCGAAAUGGCUCCAAUGGCCUUGAUUUUUUCCAUAUUGAAAAGGCUCCAAUGGCCUUGAUUUCUAA